GUAAUACACCUACCCCAUGAGAUAAUGGGAUGAUUCAGAAGAUACUUCUAAUGUGCCUGGUAUGCAGAAGAUGCUUGAUGAAUGGCCGCUACGAUGAUUCUUUGGGGCAAACCCAUCCAGCUUCUCACCCACGUGGCAAGAUGCUGAUGUGGUUAUGGAGUGGCCUGUGGCCGUGGGGAGCCCACAAAGCUAAAUGGCCUGAGUGGGUUGAACCUGUGGCCGUUCCUGGUUAGCAGGCCUCUUUCCUUCUGAAGGAGAGGCCUGGCUGUCUCAAGGCGCCUGUGAAAUAGCCAGCCGUUCUGGGCUGCCGCUUUAUUGUUCCUUGCGGAAGCCAAAAAGUGAUAGAAAGCCUUGAAAGUGAGCCGCGUGCUCCCAAGGCAUCGCUCUGUGUCGGCGAUGAUCCUUCUAAAAGCGAUGACUUCUAAACAAGCCGUGUUGACUCGAUGGCCAUCCCCGCUCCUACUUCCUGAGUAUGUCUGUGUUCAGAAGGCUCUGCCAUCCAUGACCCUCCUACUUGCUGCCCAGAAGGGGCACAUCCUUUCCACGGUUAAAAGGACAUUUUUCCAAUGAGAACAGGUCAUAUUUCAAACUGCAUUGCCAAGGUAUCAGGAGCCAUAAAAGGGGGCAUUUAACACCGUAUUUAUUUUGACUGGCAGAACAGGUCAUGGCUGUAAAAGAAACAGCUCUUGAGAAUGAAGCAGCCUCGCCGACUCUGGGCUCACUCUUUCUACCCACACACACACUGCUUAAAGCAUUCCAGAGCUGCCGCCAACUUUCCUGGCAGAGCUCUUAUUUCUUUACAUGUAUGUUGCGUUCCAUCUGUUUAAUGUGCGCUCUGUGCCAUCCUUGGAUUUUGGCAAGGCCUGGCGAGGUGGCAUGGCAUGCUCGGGCUUGUUCUAAGCAAAGCAGGGCAUGAGGCAAAGGGAGGCUGGGAGGCUCCUGCAGGAGUCCUGUUUCGCUUUUGGCUCGGGGGGCCUGGUGCUGCAAAGACCAAAGGGGAAUUGCAUAGCCGUUUCUCUCCAGAUGUGGUUGAAUUACGUGUGUGCCACUCCUGUGUUUCGCCCUACGCAGGAGUGUGGGGGUGCGUGUUUUACAGUUUCUGAUACGUGGCCAGCAAAAGAAAAGUGAUGGAGAAAGGUAACAGAGGGGGACAUCCACUCGUACUCAUGAAUCUGGGGUUUCCCUAGAAACAUUCGAAGGCCAGAAAAUGCCAACACCUGGAUCCGAUCGUCCCAAGGCCUAAAGAAAACCGAACUCCAUCUUUAUAUUAUUCUCAAGAAGCAUGAAGUACUCGGUCGGAGAAGCUGAGGCAACGUGCUGAGAUCUGGAUCUUAACUCAUCUACUUGGAAGAAAAGAAAGCCAGGUUUAUGCACCGCCAAAACAUCUGGUGAAUUCAGUUCAAAAAGAAAAUGCACCUAUCCAGUGGGGGAGAGAACAAAAGCCUCGAGGACCAGUUGUUGGGUACUGGAUGACCAAAAACACUCCGUGGAUUGACUCACUUCUCCAUCAGUUCUUCUUGGGUUAGAGCUCUUCAGAAGGGGGAAGUGAAGACUCCGGAUGGGGAAAGGAAGACUAUAGGGUUAAAAAUAUAAAGAUUCACACCUUAGGAAAAAGUUUGAGUGCACAUUUUUUUUCUUGACUCCAGCCUGGAGUGUGAACAGAAUCCCCCUGUUAAGAAAUGGAAUUACUCACCUGAAUCGGGAGGGCUGACAUGGCACAGGAAAAAAUAAGGUACAGGCUCCUAAUAAGAAACAGCCACAUGCAGAAUAAAAUUAGUGCGCGUUGUGUAAUCCCAGUUGGCCAGUUGUAAGAACAGGGAGGAGAAAGGAGCACAGGGAACAAGUUUCAGAUGCGAUUCAAGAGGUCCUGGAACCCGUCCUGACCCUCUGGGUUGGAAUUUCUGACUCUCUUCUCUGCCUUGACUCAGAAUAGGAAACCGUAUCCUGACCGCGCGUUUCUUUUUAUAGAAUUGAACUUUCUUGCCAACUUCCUCCAGAGCACAAGAUCAUCCCUCUUGGUCUCUAAACAAUACGCCAAUCAUCGGAUGGAAGUGAGGGGAGCGCUGACCUGUUAGCACCAAACACAGCCCAGGCCCGGAACGGGAGACACACAACAGGAGCAGAGCUGGCUUUCGUACCCGGCCUGGUAAAGACAACAUGUUCUUACAGGUUGGAAAACCGUCUGGCUCAUCUUUGUACUUUCUCUCUUUCUCCCACUUCUUCUAACUUGGAUCGCAUCAUUGGGCUUUGACGUUGGCCAAGUUCACGUUUGCCAGUUACCGAGUGGAUCAUGAAUGGCCAGCCGCGAGUCACGGAGGACAAGAACUGAACGACUUCAUUGCCAUUCAUUGGGUCGCCAUAUUUGCACUGGCAACGAAACCCCCAGGAUACCCCUUGCCCUGGCAAUCAGUGUCCUAGGCAAAUGGAGAACAUUAAGAAGUCACUGCACAGCCGAGCAUAACAUGCCUCGCUCUCUUUCACACAGACACACCAAGUCAGCAUUUCAAUUCAAGAAAGCUCCCAAGACAGAGGUGACACAGAAACACACUUUGGGGGGAAACUUCCCCCUUCCCUGGAAUAGGAUACCAUAUGUGUGACUCCCUCUCAGGGUCAGUAUGGCUGGAACAUGCCAUUUCUCCUCUAUCCAGUUACCCUACAUUCGACUCUGUCACUGUGACACCAUAUGCUGCCGGAACAACACAUCCUCAUUCCUUGGAAUAAAAAGGUCUUUCAUAAGACUUAUUAAGUCUGAAUCUUAAUCAUAGUCAUCAUUAUUCAGUCUGCUUGCUGUCCACAAUAUUGAAAUGAAGGGAAACAAGAAAUAGAAAAAGACAAGUUUACAAUCUUCAAGACACCAAUGAAUAAGAAACGAUGGCGAAGAAAGCAAGAGUGACCUCAAAAAAAGAAACGUCUUAAAGUGUAAAAAAAAAAAAUCCACAAAUAGACUCUUAGCUUUCAAUAUUAGUCUUUACUUUAAAAAUAAGGGGAGGGAUGAUUAAAGAGAUGAAUUCACAUUUGAAUAGAAUCCAAAUGACUUAAGAACUAUUUGGAUCCGAAUAUUUCAGUUGGACAAGGAAUGAUAUUAAAGUUAUGUGAUACAUUAGGGGUUGAAGUGAAAUGGAAAUAUUUCUUUCAUUUAAAAGCAAUUUUCUUGCCUUUGUGGGCCUUGAGAGUUUCCCAGGUUGUGAGUGCCAACUCCCCUCCCCCUUCUUUCCUUUAGAUUCAUGGAAUCCUAUUUAGGGGGAAAAUGGAGUUUGUGUUUGUGAGAGCUCCUUUUUUAAAUCGUGCGGCUGCAGGGAAGACCUUCCACGUAGAGCUGAGAGGUGGGUAAUUUUGAAUCCAAAUUAGAAAGUUUUGGUAAUAGCCAUACGGCCGAAUCACACCUGCAUUUACUGCUGGCUUCGCAUCUCCCACCUCACAGAUGAUGUGGCCACGAGUGCCAUCCCUGGUCAGUGUGGGGAAACGGGAAGUGCCAGCCUGGAAAGACAGGAAGCAAGUGGCUGAGCUCUUCUCCACUGCAUCUCAAAAACAGAGGGCAUGUGGGGGGCCUCAUCAAGCAGGACUUAACUUCCAACCCAGCAAACAUUUAUUUAGUGCCUACUAUGUGCCAGGUGCUGUAUUAAGGGCUCUUACAUGUGGCAUCUCAUUAAAACCUCAUGACAAGGAGAAACAUCUUGGCGAACUCUGCCCAUUUCUCAGUCCUCAGUGUGGAUUUCAUAGUCACCUUAGGGCAGGUCUCUCAGUCUCAGCACUGUUGGCAUUUUAGGCUGGAGAAUUCUUUGCUGGGAACUGUCUUGUGCGUUGUACGAUGUUUAACAGCAUCCUUAGGAUGUGUAGCAGUGGCCUCUGCCUACUAGAUACCAACAGCAUACCUCACUCUAGUUAUGACAACCAAAAAUGUCUCUAGACAUUGCCUAAUGUCCCCUGGGAGGGGAAAAUUGCCCCCAGUUGAGACACUCUCCCUUAGAGACAGGAUGGUUUGAACCCUUGGGCAGCUGUAGACAAACAUUCCUUUUAUUCCCCGCUAUGGUCUGAGUCAGUGGCUCUCAAACCUGAGUGGU